AUAAAACCUUUUUUUUUUUCCGUUCUUCACUAUAUUUGAAACAACCGUUCAAACAUAAAAUUAUUUUCAAAUUUCAUUAUAAAUAUUUAAUUAUAAAACCAUUGUGUGUUUUAUUACUGCCGAAAGCCUUAAACUUCGAGGGUUUUCUGUCCAAAGUAUCACAGCAAAUAAGACCAUAACCGUUGACUUUCUUACAAUUUGGUCAAAGAUCUUUUAACUUAAUUAGUCUGACAAAAUAUUUACAGCUAUUCUACCAGCAUUUAAUUAUUCUGGCGUGAAGUAUUCGAGUGUCACGAUGCUCUUCAGUGAAGUAAACGGACGUUCGACCACUAGCGCUGCGUGGUGGCUGGUUACCGUCUACUGUUAACACUGACGUCAAAUCACAGUCAAAGCUUGUGCUGCCGUCAGAAGUGUACAUCAGAUUCCAUUCUAUAUUGUUUGUCUUGGUCUUGUUUUGGAUGUGAGGGGAAAAUCAGAUGGUGGGUUUUUGGUUUUUGCAAUUACGUUAUUUUGUGGUAUGAAAAAUCCGUCCAGUAUUCCAGAUACGAAUUUGAUGAAAUUGGAAUUGAAAACAGCCAUGUGAUAAAAUGGAAAAUGAAAACAGAAUUGAAAUGCAUGACGCAUUUUUCGCUUAAGGUUCUCUCGGGUAAACAUUGUCGGGUUGUAGAUGAACCCUGAUGUGAGCAAUGGCAUCAGCUACAAAACAUUUCCCCCCAUAUUCAACACAAAAUGUGAAGCAGUUUGCUCAUGGGCACAUCUGCUUGGCUUGAUAGGUAAACUCAGGGUAUAAUAUUCAUUCAGAAUAUCGGCAUCUUGUUUGAAUAACAUAAAGCAGACGACAUUUUUAGUGUCAUGACCCCAUUACGGCUAUCAGGAGAUCUUUCCCAAAUUUUGGUUGAAUGAGCCGAAUUUUCUUGGGUUUUUUUUUUAACUUUUUCCCCUUGUGUGAUAAGAGGCACGGCGCUGCGUUUAACUUUCCAUCCUGAGGGAGUCUAUUUGUCCUUUUUGGGAAAAUUACUCCGUUUACGACAGACUCUCUGCUGCCGCGCGAGGAGAAGGGCGAUUGACCUCACAGCUUUCACAUUACUACCCAUGAGAUGUUUACGAUUAAAAGCCUAUCUUCUCUCUUUCCAAUUUCUUAACCCCUAACUAAAACUUUUAAUUUUUAUCGAAAACUCUAUCCUGAAAACAAAAUUACCAUUUUCUUUUACAUAUCCUGCAUUUACGCUAAUAGAAUUAAAAGGUGCUAGCAGCUGUGUCCACAACUCCAAUAAGUAAAAUCUAAUAUGACAAAUUGCCAGAGACAGUAAUUCAGCUUCUCCUCCACUUCUCCCAACAAGGGCCAUCUUAGACUGUCACAGCAAAACAAGGGUGUUUCUAACUGUGCACUUAAACUUGAGACGACUUGCCUGAGCCGGAAACAUGCAAAAUCGAUGCUUUGUAACGUACCGGCGUCUGGUUGUAUGCGGAUGGUUUCCUUUUAACCAAAAGUAACUUGAGUGUGAGAUAAUUCUUUCGCUAAAAACCGUGUGUAUUGUUACAUGGCAACGUGGUUGUGCAGUGAGCAUUAAUUCGAUCUCUCUUUUUACAGUUUGCAAUCACGAGAGUUGUAAGUUAAUGUUAAAGAGCAAUAAUGAAUGUAGUAUCGGGUGGCUGUUGCACUAUAUAAUAAUAAUACGUAUGACAAAAAAGAAAGGCACCUAAUUGUGGAUCACGGGGGCGUUAUGGUUAUAAACAAAGCCAGUUAUUUAUAUUACUUUGAAUUUGUCGAUAGUUCUCAACUAAUAAAAGAUUUCGCUGGGUUGUGGUUCAAGUUGGCAGUGGCAUUAAUGCGUGCAAUGAAUUUCGUUAUUACCAAUCAAUGAUGAUGUAGUAGUCACUUGUUAGCCGAAGCUUGUGAAAGGUCUUGUUGUAACUCAACAUCUCCUCUACUUUGAGGCAAAAGUUCUAAAUUGCCUCGGGAAGACAUUUUGAAAAGCCUGGAGACGUAGAGCGCCUGUUGUUUUUUUUUUUUUUUUUUUUGGCAAUUCAAACAGACAGAAAACGGAGAUGGUUAGAUUUCACAGCAGCCAUAUGUUGUAGAUAAGAAAAGCUGAUACCGUUAACGAAGCGGCGAUGGAACCGAUGAGAAAUCCCGACAACACGUCGCUCCUAAAAAAGUGACGCAAGCGCCGGUUUUUAUGUUUAUGUGUACACAUUUAAUAGACAAGUGUUUGCAUUGCUAAGCUUCAACUAAACUCACCAGUGAUGUUUGUAGUCGGAAACUCGUGUAAGGCCAGUAUACCAAGAAAGCAACAAUGCAGAAAUCUGGAUGGUGGGUCGGAGCAACUUUGAGCCAGACCAGUUCAUCCUGCGCUGAAGAUACAAAGCCAAAAACAGCAUCGUGUAAGCCGAAAAGGAAGCAUGGCCAGAUGGGAAAGACAAUCUGAAAUGCAGAUGAUGAACAAGGGGGGAAGAGUUAUAAAUGUUCAGCGAAGUAUCAGGGACGAUUUAAAUGAAGCGUGAAAAAAAAAAAAUCCCACUUUGAAAAGAGAAACAAAUAAGAAUUAUUUUUAGGAUACCGCUGGCUAUUACCUAGAUUCUCGGACGAGAUCCUCGUCGCUACCCGUACAUUUGUAAUUGGUGAUGUACGUGUGUGGCGCGUUCGACGAGCACAAUUCCGCUAGGUUUUCCGGCUGACAGACGGCAAUAAAAUGAGGACUAUAUAUAAAAAAAAAUGUUUGAAAUAGUACAUCCGUUAAAAUAAAAUGGGAUUAUUUCAGGAGAAAGGAAAAAUGGCAGAGUUCCAUUUUCGUACCGGAGACGACCGAUGGUAUAUUUGCCAAAAUCUGUUACUAGCUGAGAGCAGGCUGCACCGAAGAGGAAGAUGGCGACCAGAUGAAUGAUUUCGGCAAUCACCGACGGAAUUCGAACUGACGAUGAAAGAUUGAUUGUGGAACAACUGUUUUGUCUGCUCAACUUUUUAGAGUGUGAGUUGUUUCUCCAACGAACAACUUCCACGAUGAACAUCUGUUUGAAUCAAAAAAGAAAAAAAAAUUCCAAUGAAAUACAAUUAUCAAACACAACCAAGUUUGGCUUGUCGCUGACGGUUAGAUCGAUCCAUCGAGCGAACGGUCCUCGUUACUAAGAAAAAGACAAUAGACAAGGCAUCCGCCACAAACGGAGAAGACAAUAAAAAAAAAGUUUCCAAUCAAGAUAAUUGUGUUUGAUAGAUGAAAGCCAUAGAAGUAAGUAGCGAUGAAGAAGGAAAAAAAAAGCAGUUAAGUGCGAUCGAUCGAUCCAGCCAAACAACAGCAGCCACAAAGCCAAAAAUAAAAUAAAACAUAAAACAGAGGACUCUUUCACUCAUCCCCCGGUCGUCUGGUUUCUUUUUUCUGAAUGUUAUUAUUAUACCGAUGCGAUGGGCAGGCCGAGCCCGAAACAGUAGAGCAUAACGUUGGUGACAGUCGAGUUCUUGAAAGGAUAGCGAAUGGAAUUGUCAUCGCAGUAGAAUCCUCGCUGGAACGGCUUGCCGAGCAGGUGCAAAAGUAGGACGGGCAACCAAACUGUUGUAUGUGUGAGUUAUACGAAAUGUAUAAUUGUUUUUCCAGACCGAGGAUGUCGUCAUUAAUCUCAGUUCUUUCAACCAACCCGACAUCUCCAGCUGCCGUUUAAAAGUGUGUGUUCCACCUCACUCUUUCUCGAAAUACCAUUAAAAAGUAGAGAC
rnacentral:lncRNA from 1 species